ensembl:lncRNA LOC108351161 uncharacterized LOC108351161
CCUUGUUCCUAUUCACUUGUGGGAGUGAUCUAUGGCUGUUGUGCAUUAGACAAUCAGGCAGCCCAGGGACCUGCAAAUGCCAUGGCCACCUAGGCUGAGUGUGGCAGAGGCUAGGAGGCAGGAGAGAUAGUUAGCAGAUGUGACUGGAACCCGACGCUUUAAGCCUGUCUCCAAACUACCCUACCGAACCAACCGAUUUCAUCCAGGCACAGCCUUUCACUGCUUCAGCCUCAGCACCUCAGCUGGAGUCAUUCAGGGGUUGUUCAGUUGAGACCUGUUGCUAAGGGACAAAGAGGCAAAAAGAAUUCAACAAAUAGUCAACCACAGGCCAAGAUCUGUGGUGUUUACUUACAGAAGUAUGCUCAGACCAGAUGACCAGAGACAUGCCAACCCAAGGGGACUUGGAAUUUCUGGAUUUGGAAGGCCACAAGACUCUAGAUUUCAGCGUAUAGUCCUUGGUUCCAUUGAUCUUGGGCUAUGAAGAUCAUCACAGUAGCAGAAGCACGUGAAGAACAAGACCAUUCGUCUCCUACCAGAGAGAAAAGUGCCAAAGAGCUUCUCAUGGUGUACCAGCUGCUUCUUCCUGGUUCAGCAGACCCAUGCCAUUCAGAGGAGCCUUGCAGUUUCUUCUGGAUCAAGCCGCUGCUACUGAUUUAUGUUUGGUAUUUUGGACUGGACUGUUGUUCUGACAACAAAGACUGGAAUCGACCUAGAGAAUUACUUCUAAACAGGACCACAUCCCCCAUCGCCCAUUAAUCUUUCUUUUCCCUACCUCUGGUAGAUUGGCUAGAAGGGAGGUUGAAGAGUUUAAAAUUCCUUAUUAAAGUAGGUUUUGAAAAACCUAAACCUACAAAUUAUGAUUUAACUGGAAAUUUCAGAUGCAGGAAAAUUAAAAGAAAAACAAAACAAAACCUACAACCCCGGAUGUUUUGACUACGAACCUGCAGAAUUUAAUUUGUGUCAACAUUAUUUGGGUUACAAAAAAACAUGAUAGAGUUUGUGAAGCAAGAGUGAGUCGUGUCUGAAAAGGAAGUCAUUUUUAGCAUUCUGACAGGAGGAUGUGGUCUUCCAAAGUUAGAAAACUGUCACUUUUGGUAAAUGGAGCAACUAGCUUCCAGAGGAAAGGUCUUGAGUUGUUAGACAGGAAUUCUGAGUUCAAGUCCUAGGAUCUCCUUUGCUGAAGCAUUUGGACAAGUACCUUAUGUCUCUGAUUUUCAGUUGUUGUUGUUGUUUUGUAAGGGAGGGGUGAUUUUUCUCAAGACAGGGUUUCUCUGAGUAGCCCUGGCCAUCUCAGAACUCACUUUGUAGACCAGGAAACUAUGUGCAGAUCUGCCUGCCUGCUACCGCCUCUUGGAGCUCUGGGAUUAAAGGCAUGUGUCACCUCGUCUGGCUUGCAUUUCGGCUUCCUUGAUAAUGUGGUAGGCAAGAUUCUAUCAGCAAUUUUGUGUGUCCUUUUCUGUGUUUGUGAUUGUGUGCUGUGUGCGUGAGUACGAGACAGUGCGUGUGAGUGGGAUGUGCAUGUGGCACCACAGAGAUCAGAAGUCAAUGUCAGCUGUCUUCCUCCAUUUC